rnacentral:lncRNA from 1 species
GGUCAGGCAGGGAACACUGACACUGGAGCGCGCAUGCACGAGAGGACUCCAUGUUUUUCUUUCUCUCUUUGAACGAAUACAACAUCGCCGGUUGGAAUAUUAUCGCUAUUUUACGAGAAAUAUCGCAUAAAAAUGUAUUUUAAACAGCGUUUGACAUGCUUCGAAGUACGGUAAUGGAAUAUUUUGACAUUUUUUGUCACGAAAAUCGCCCGCGCGUCACCCUUCGGAUACUGACCUCAAUGCACGAACAAAACGGAGCUAUUUGGAUAAAACUAUGGAUUAUUUUGAACCAAAACAACAUUUGUUGUUGAAGUAGAAGCCCUGGGAGUGCAUUCUGACGAAGAACAGCAAAGGUGUAAUGUUCGUCGUAUGUGG